GCCUCAGGCAGCAAGGUCCACAGGGGCAUCAGAUCUAAAUAAACAACAAAGAGCUCUGACUCCUCCCUCUCCCAGCAGAUGCCGGCAACCAAGAAAAACUACCUUGGCCUUUGAGCUCUGAACAAUUUGUAGGACAGUCAAGCUCUCAGUGUAGAUCGACACCAAGACAGCGUAUAGAUUGCUGCAACUGGUUGACCGAAGAAGCUGCAGAAGUUGAAGAUUUGGCACACACUUCCUAGAUCCCUUUCCAGCUUGUCUAACUGAAUUUUCGUAUUAACAAGUGCAAUGCCAAGCCUGCAGGCGCUUGCCAAGUUUCAGCCAGACAGGAAUAUUCACAACAGGGACAAUAGCAUUAUACUGCAGUUCUGGAUUCUGGAGUUGAUUAAGCCCAGUCACCUUCCCAUCUGAAGAAAUGGCACGGUAAUCAGGACAGAGGGAAAUAUGUAUAUACUGUACGCAAAGUUGCAGACUUUAAAGCUCACAAGGCAUGCUGUGCAUGGAUAACAAGGAACAGCGGGCAAGUGUAAGCAAACGAAAACUUUUGGCACAGUUACAACCUAAGGGCCGUCUUCCCUGCUCCAAGGAGCAAGGCAUGAUUUCCUCAAAAGUCCACAAGCUACAAAGAUCGUCGGCCAGUCAGAAAUUUCCUCUGGCAUGUUCUCUUAUCAGCCACCUACUCCAGACACAUGUUUUUAAAAUAUGAAGCGUUAUGCUUCCGGUGG